rnacentral:rRNA from 1 species
GACGAACGCUGGCGGCGUGCUUAACACAUGCAAGUCGAACGGUAAGGCCCUUCGGGGUACACGAGUGGCGAACGGGUGAGUAACACGUGGGUGAUCUGCCCUGCACUUCGGGAUAAGCCUGGGCAACUGGGUCUAAUACCGGAUAGGACCCUGGGAUGCAUGUCCUGGGGUGGAAAGCUUGUGCGGUGUGGGGUGGGGCCGUGGCCUAUCAGAUUGUUGGUGGGGGGGUGGCCUACCAAUGGGACGACGUGUAGCCGGACUGAGAGGGUGAUCGGCCAGACGGGGAGUAAGAUACGGCCCAGACUCCUACGGGAGGCAGCAGGGGAGAAUAUGGGACAAUGGGCGCAAGCCUGAUGCAGCGACGCCGCGUGAGGGAUGUCGGCCUUCGGGUUGUAAACCUCUUUCAGCACCGACGAAGCGCAAGUGACGGUAGGUGCAGAAGAAGGACCGGCCAACUACGUGCCAGCCGCCGCCGUAA